ensembl:lncRNA
AUGAUUCUGGAGUGGAUCCACACUGGGAGGAUGAACUUGGAAGACUUCAUGUCACAGAUGAAGGACUUUACCAGAGGGCUCUUUAUGCAUUUCAGACUGUCAUUAAAAGGGGCAUUCCUGUGGCUACUGUCAUUGGAGGAGGUUAUUCCAGAGAUAUUGAUCGACUGGCGCGCAGGCACUCAAUAAUUCAGAGCUGCAUCAAAGGUUUGGAGAGAACAUGGAGUUUAACUCCAAGAUGAAAAUGGACAGCAGUUGCUAAACAAUCUAAGACUGGUGGGACCUUAUGAAUGCUCCGCAGUGCCAUAGCCAUUGUAUGCAAUAGAUUUUAUGAAUAAAAAUGCCAUAUUUAUUCA